UACGUAGGGCGCGAGCGUUAAUCGGAAUUACUGGGCGUAAAGCGUGCGUAGGCGGUUUUGUAAGUCAGAUGUGAAAUCCCCGGGCUUAACCUGGGAACUGCGUUUGUGACUGCAAGACUCGAGUACGGCAGAGGGGGGUGGAAUUCCACGUGUAGCAGUGAAAUGCGUAGAGAUGUGGAGGAACACCGGUGGCGAAGGCGGUUCUCUGGGAAUAUCCUGACGCUGAGGAGCGAAAGUGUGGGGAGCGAACAGG
rnacentral:rRNA from 1 species